AUUGAACGCUGGCGGCAGGCUUAACACAUGCAAGUCGAGCGAGCGGCGGACGGGUGAGUAAUGUCUGGGAAACUGCCUGAUGGAGGGGGAUAACUACUGGAAACGGUAGCUAAUACCGCAUACCAUCAGAUGUGCCCAGAUGGGAUUAGCUAGUAGGUGGGGUAAUGGCUCACCUAGGCGCCGAUCCCUAGCUGGUCUGAGAGGAUGACCAGCCACACUGGAACGGAGACACGGUCCAGACGCAAACGGGAGGCAGCAGUGGGGAAUAUUGCACAAGGGGAGCAGGCCUGAUGCAACCAUGCCGAGUAUGUGAAGAAGGGAUUCGGGUUGUAAAGCGCUUGCAGCGAGGAGGCGUUACUAGAAGAAGAAGCACCGGCUAACUCCGUGCCAGCAGCCGCGGUAAUUC
rnacentral:rRNA from 1 species